CGAAGGCGGCUAUUCAGGCAUUUCUAUAAUCAUCCUGAUAACGAACGUUUGACGUCAUGAGCCCCAUUGCAUGUUGGGAUGGAAGGGGGCGGAAGGCUUAGAGGCAGCGCAGCGCCUUCUGGGAUGCAGAGAGGAGCCGCACUCCUCAGUGAGGCCGCGUGAAUUGCGUUGCCACGGAAACGGUUGCUGGUGUCGUUGGAACCUGGUUCUUUUGACUGAGAAGCGGCCACCAGGGGCGCUACUCACAAUAUGUUCAAGGUAGCCAGCAGAGCAGAGGUGAGGUGGAAAGAUCAAUUUCACCUCUCGCCAGACAAGCAUUAGGUGAAUCAUUUGAUGCAAUUACAAAUGCUAAGCCUAAUGUAUGACACCCAGGAAAAGGUAAAGAAGAGCGGGAAGGAGAAGCUCCCUGACGAUUUCCAUGGUAAAGCUAUAUGUCACGUUGUCUCUGAUCAUCUUCAAAACAAGUCUGCGGGUUUUAUCUUUAAGUUGAUGUGCUCUGUCUUCACUCAAGGUGGAGCUGAAACCAGCUGCAAAAUUUCACUCUUCUGGAAUCCAGAGGAUCCAAGAAAAAUGGGGUCUACGUUUCUAAGUCAGAAAGAAGCAGUGGUUUCCCUGCCGCUCAGCGGACACCGCUUUCGCGAGCUGGGUCGGGCACCGGGCAGGGAGAGGAGGCUCCGGGUGAGCCGCCUGGGACCAAUUGCUGACCCGGCUGGGCACUGCAGGCGCAGUUAAAAGCGAAUGGUGCACGCAGCUCUCCCGAGCUCCCCGUACACACACGGCCUCCUCCAAAGGAAGCCCACUGCUGCCUAGGACCUCAGGCUGGUGUCGCUGGAGGGGUGUCAAGCUUGGAGGACUUCAGCCUGGAUGCUGCUUACCGAAGGGAAAAGGCACCCUCUCUAGUCAAGCCUCCCCUGCAGAGACUCCCAUCAGCCGGCCCCUCUCCCCAGGAACUCUCAGACACCCCUACAGACGCCCAUCCACGAACGAUCUAGCCUCGGAAGAAAGUGGAGAGGUCUGGGGAGAGCGAGACUGGAGUGAAGAGGUGGGGACUCCAGUCUGCAGCAGUUGGGGAGGGCUUGGAAAAUGGAGCAAGCGACCAGAGUAAAGGAAGGGCAGGGGCCCCGUCCCAGCAACCUGUAGGAUUGACGAUGAUCGCGAACUUGGGGUGGGAGGCAGUGGUCCCCUCGGAGGUCCUCCGCCCGAGUCCCGUCCCGUUGGGCUCGGCGCGCGGAGAGGUGCAGGGUGUAACUUCGGGGGCCAGCGCCAUGGUUGCAGGUCCCGCUCAAUCGCCCCGCUCGCUCAGCCCGCCGCUUACCUCGGGCAGCCGCAGCCCGCCGUCCAGAAGCAGAGCCCUAGCCAAGGGAGCCACCGGCGCGCCUAUCCAGCGCCUCCCCCCUGUCCCCAUGCUGCUACUCCCGCUUCGGAGUACGGCUCCUCUUCCGCGCCCUCGGAGCCUGGGAGAGGCACGGCGAGCCACGGGCCAAGACCAGUGGGUCCCGGGGGUCUUCAGCGAGUAACUGCUCCAUGGCCUGUCCCUACAGCACCGGGGCAGGUCACUCCGAGCCGCCGCGCGCUGGAUACCCAGAGGAUGCGCGCGCUCCCAUAGCCUCCCACAGCGGGGCGAUCACUGCCGCCACAGUCACUGCCAGAGUCGCCCGCCCUCCCCUCCGCACCUCUCGCUCGCAGCGCUCCCGCCGCCGCCGGAUUCCGGGCUGAAGGGAAGAGAUUUUUAACCAUUACAGCCGUCCACUCACGGAAUGCUUUGUGAAAUACCGAUCCUCCAAUACCAUUGUGGUGAAGAACCCAGGCUGCAGGCAGACACACCUGGUCUUACUGCCAAGCUACAGGCCACUUCACCUCGCUGUACCUCUCUUCCUCGCGUGUAAAAUGAGGGCAACACCAACUGCAUAGAGUCGUCGAUCUAGAUAUUUUUAAAUUGUUUUUAAAAAAUGGAUAAUAGUGGUACAGCCACUUUGGAAGGCAGUGUGGCAAUUUCUUACAAAGAUAGAUGGGGCCUUACCAUUCAACCCAACAAUGACACUUCUAGGUAUUUGCUCAAUUGACGUGAAUACUAAAUGUUCACA